rnacentral:tRNA from 1 species
GCGGAAGUGGUGAAAUGGCAGACACGCCAUCUUGAGGGGGUGGUGCACGGUAGUGCAUGGGGGUUCAAGUCCCCCUUUCCGCA